CGUAAAUAUACAAGAGUUUUUUUUUUAGAAAAUAUAGAGAAGGUAGAGAAGUUAUGGAGAAAUGUGAAAGAGAGAAAUGGAAACAAGUUUAAAAAUUUAGAUAUAUGUUAGGUUAAUGUGGGUGGGUGAAGGAAAAAUUUCGUUUAUACAAAAUUACGUUACUGUUAUGAUUUUAUUUUGUGAUAAAAAAUUACAUUAUUUUUUUUUGGGGGGGGAGAGAUUUUGUUAACAUGUAAUUUAUAUAAGACUAUAUAUUUUUUAAGAGAGACUAAGUUUUUUAUUUAUCUGAGAGAGAGAUUAAACUUAUUCACGUGAUAUGCGAUGUCAUGAUUAUUUUUUAAUUGCUUUUUCGUUAACAAUUUUACUCUAAAUCUCUAUAUUCUUAUUUAUACGUUUUAGUUUUAUGUCCUUUUUUUUCUUCUUGGUCCAUUUCUAUCUCUCUUCCUUCUCCAUUCUACCCAUGUCUCUCUUUCUCUCUCUCCACCUUCUUCUUUGUAUUUUUCUUUCUCUUCUCUCUUCGUACUUCUCUCUAUUCCUCUUCCUACAUCAUUAUCUCUACUAGUAUUGAAAAUUUCGAAACUGAUCUUUUCAAAGUGUUGGAAUUUUAAAUUUGAUCUUAUAGAAAUUUUGAAACUGAUCUAAUAGAAGUGCAAAUAAAAUUUGAAAGUAAUCUUGCAAAAGUGAAUGAAUUGUGAAACUGAUCGUUCAGAAAUAAGAAAUUAAUUUUUACGGAUCUAAAAUCAGUUUGAAGUUUUUAUAGAUGGUGUCACUUUAUAGUUUUGGCCUGGUUAACUAACAAGUCUAUUAUGCACAAAACCGGAGGUCUUGGAACAACGUAAAUCUGACCAUGAAUCUGCAAGAAAGUAAAGAACACAAAAUGUAUCGUGGUUCACCCCAAUGUUUGGGCUACGUCCACACUGAUAUUGUAUUUCUCUGUUUGUGAGAGGAUUGUGAGGGAGAGAGAGCUUCUGUUUAGGGGAUGUAAGGCUCUCAAUAUGAGGGUGAGGAAGCCCUUUUAUAGACUAAGGGCUCCUCCCCUUUUUACAUAUUUGCCCCUUCAUUUAUUACACAAUUACAUUUGAGUCCCUCGAGUAUUUAUACGAGGUCUAAAUACGAAGGCCCUAAGUAUGGUAUAAAUAGUAGUCCCUCAAGUCUUCAGUCAAAAGAGUCUUUUGGCUGGAGACUUGAAAUUCAGUCCAUGUGUGAGCCGAAGUAACUAGAUGUCAUCUAGAACUGAUACUCGAUAUGAGGCGAUGCCCAAUCUGAAAUGAUGCUCAACCAGAAGUAGCACAUGUUGCGAAGCUGCUCUGCUUGUGGCUUAUGUUGCCUUGGUUGGUUCGGCUUGUGGUGUUAAAGGUGAGGGAGUCCCUUUUAUAGACUAAGGGCUUACUCCUCAAUACAUAAAUGAUGGGCUAGAGUUGAUGCUCGCGGCGAGGCGGUUACUCAGCAGGCGGCGAUGCUCUCUAAUGAUGGUGAGGGAGUCCCUUUUAUAAAAUAAGGGCUCGCUCCUCAAUACAUGAAUAAUGGGCUGGCGUUGAUGCUCGCGGCGAGGCGAUUGCUCAGCAGGCGGCGAUGCUCUCAAAUGAUGGUGACAGAGUCCCUUUUAUAAAAUAAGGGCUCGCUCCUCAGUAUAUGAAUAAUGGGCUAGAGUUGAUGCUCGCGGCGAGGCGGUUGCUCAGCAGGCAGCGAUGCUCUCUAAUGAUGGUGAAGAAGUCCCUUUUUAUAAAAUAAGGGCUCACUCCUCAGUACAUGAAUAAUGGGUGCUCUCUAAUGAAAGUAAGGGAGUCCCUUUUAUAAAAUAAGGGUUCGCUCCUCAAUACAUGAAUAAUGGAUGCUCUCUAAUGAAAGUGAGGGAGUCCCUUUUAUAAAAUAAGGGCUCACUCCUCAAUACAUGAAUAAUGGGUUAAGUCCCUCGAGUAUUUUUCAUAAGGCCCAGUUGUGGAAGCCCAAUAUGUGGUAGAUAGUGUAUUCCCUUAAGUCUUCAGUCAAGAGAGACUGUUGGCUGGAGACUUCAAAUUCAAUCCAUGUAUGGGCCGAAGUGGCAGUUGUUCGGAGGUGGUCUUUAUAGACCAUGCACUGAAGCUUUGUAGGUGAAACUUUUAAAGUGAAGCUUUGAAGCUGGAACUCUGUAAAUGAAGCUUUCGAAGCUGAUUAACAUGAGUGAUGCUCAUGAAUGUUUACGUUGAUUGACAUGAGUGAUGCUCAUGGAUGUUAACAUGAGUGAUGCUCAUGAAUGUUGACAUGAACGAUGGUCAUGAAUGUUUAUGUAUGAUUGACAUAAGUGAUACUCAUGAAUGUUUAUGUAUGAUUGACAUGAGUGAUGCUCAUGUAUAUUUUUUGAAGUAUUGGACGUACUUUUGAUCACCUGGUUAGUGAUAAUAGCGGCAAGCUGCCGAAUAAUUUUGAGGUACUGGACGUACUUCUGAUCACCUGAUUUGUGAUAAUAGCGGCAGGGUGCCGAAUAAAUUUGGAGUACUCGAUGUACUUUUGAUUACCCGGUUGGUGAUAAUAGUGGCAGGGUGUCAAAUAAAUUUGUAGCCAUAGGGUCUGGCUCUUUUGGGCAUAUGGGUCUUGGCCCUCCACAUAACAUUCCAGCCCAUUAUUUUGGGCUUGCUGUUUUUUUUUUUUUUUUACCUUCUGAUAGGGUUAUACAGAUGUCUCCGAAAGAUAAGAAAAAUAACUCACAUCAUUCAAAAAUAAAUCUGACCCUCUGCUCAAUGGGUCACACUCAUAACUCCCUUUUCUGCAUGUCAUUACCACCGCAAUUAUGUCUGCUUCUUUUUAUCUUAUGUUGCUUUCUACUUUUUGUUUCUGCUUUUCUCCAGACAUCAUUUUUCUUUUUCUUACUUUUGCUUUUCUGCUUUUUCUUUUCCACCGCACCUCUUUCUCUGUCUCUGUCUUUGCGCUGCUGUCAUGCAUGUGCUCAGUCAAAUCCCAAUCUCUUAGAUUUUAUUCUCUUCUCUCUUUUUGCUUUCUUCUUUGCAGAUGGCAGACAAAAGUAAAGUUCUUUUCUUUACUUUGCUUUACUUUGCAGAUUGCAGAUGCACUGCCGAACCAAACAGCCGGAGAUCUGGUCGUGGAAACCGUGAAACAAGAACCUGGCAAACGUGUUAGCAACCUCUUUGGAUGCCUCGGUCCUCCUCAACUCGAUCAGUCUCAUACCCACCCAUGCAGUCGACUCAGCUGCUCAACACUCAGUGAUGGUGGCGUCAGAGUGAUUUCGUCCAGCAACUGAGAUCUGCAUAUUAUCUUUCAAGACAUCGAGAUGCGUGAUUACGAGAUGGGUAGCGCCAGCACUGAGCAUUCCCCCAACAGUGCAGAGCCCAUAAUAUGCAAGUGAAAAUAGCAUUCCCCCAACAGUGCAGAGCUCAUUAAUUUCAUCAAAUUGCAGUUGAAAAGGUAACAAAAAGCCUUCACCUUGUCCUAGAGUGAACUUGAAUGGAGUCCCCCCGUCGCGACUCGAAUCGAACUGAGUCCCGUCCAGCAAUGUCCCAGUAUAAUGAACUUCAACUUCAUUGCCAUUAUUGGAAGUGUCCCAGCCUUCCCCUUCCUUUAGGAGCUUCUUCUUCAAUCCUUGGUGGCCGAUCUCCUUCUCCUCACCGACCUUCAGGACUGGCCCCUCGUCGGGGAAAUCAAAGUCCUCGUUCAUAUCCUCCGCCCCUAGCAUAUCGAAGUCCUCGUCCAUUUUCUCGAAAGCGCGAGAUGAAAAAUUCAACGAUUUGAAAGCGUAUUACAAGAUUCUGAGAUUGAAGAAAAUUAGGGAAAAGUGAGAGUGAGGGAGACGAGGCUUUUAUGGUGUUAUUUUUUAGAGUUCUAGAGGCUUCUACAAGGUUGUUGGGCUGCAGCGCGAGGUUUUACUUACAUGCUCCCUUGCCCAAAGGGUGCUUAUUGUCCACUUGCAAAACUCAAUAACGAAUCUGGGAUAUGUGAGCCGUAAGGUCAUAUUCAAGGCCUAAAUUGGGUCGAGUUUUGGAUUUUCAAUGUAGAGUGGAUGAUGAGAGAGAGAGAUCUGCGAAGGUUUUUCCGAAACAGCUCAAUGAGGGAGAUUCUUAGUUUCUGCAAAUUGACGUAGGGGUUUAAUGAAAAAAAAAUGAAAGAGAACCGACAUAGCUUUUCGUGUCGUUUCCCAUAAACGGGGCCAAAUGUUGAUGCACAAAACCGGAGGUCUUGGAACAACGUAAAUCCGACCAAAAAUUUUCCUAGGCCUCCUCUUCUUUGGGCCUAAUAACUUUCAUAACAAAUAUAUAUGAAUGAGGAGUUUCAGGCUACCACUUAGAAAGGAAAAUGGUGAAGUUUUGUUACUUUAGAAACUUGGCUAAUAGCAAGACAUCUCCUUCGUCAACUCCAUCGACUGAAGACUUGGGGGACUCCUACCAUAUGCUACUGCACCUUGAUACUCGGAAGUCUCAUAACCACUCAGUGACUUGGAUUUUUCAAGUCUCCAACCGAAAAGUUUUCCUCACUCUGGAAAUUAAGGGAACACUACCUCAACCUACAUGUUUCACUCACAAAGCUUCAACAUACAAGCUUCAACAAAAGAAAAAAAAUCAAAGAACUUAGAGAAUAAGGCUUUGGUGUAUUUAACACAAUACGUUGAAAUGAAGCAAAGCUUAUUUAUUGAUAUAUCUGAUAAGUUACAAAUAUGUACAUAUACAUGAGUCAAAAUAAACAAACAAGAUGGAGCCUUCACAAAGGUUGCUUAGGAGAAGUCUCAGCAGUCGACAGAGCCUCAGAAAGGGAAGGCACCGAAGGGUGAUCAUUCAGAGCCUCAGUACUGGACAGAACCCCAGAAGGAGGAGGCAUCAGAGGUUGAUCAUUUGGAACUUCAUUACGCAGUACAACCCCAGAAGACGAAGGCAAUAAAUGCCUUUGGAACAAACCCACAAACCUCUGAUGAUCAAGUAAAAUCUGACCAUCAGAUUCCUGCAUUUGGUCAAGCUUCCUCUUCAUGUUUGUAGCAUAGUCAUGUGCGAGCCUGUGCAACUGUUAUUCUCAUACUUGAGCCCUCUAAUAUCCUGUUUGAGACUUAUCACUUCAGCUGCCAAUGAUUCAACCUGGCGGGUUCGAGCAAAUAGGCGUUGGGCCAUAUUAGACACAGAACCUGCACACUGAACACUGAGAGUCAGAGAAUCCUUAACAGCCAACUAAUCAGACCGUUUAGAAAGUAGUCUGUUAUCUUCGGGAGUGAGAAGGUUCCUGACCACCACCGCAGCAGUCAUAUCAUUCUUCAUCACAGAGUCCCCAACGGUAAGAGGACCAGUAGGGGAUAAGAAGGAUGGGCACUAUAUGUUGUCAUGAAGAGGCAUGGCUGCCUCUUCACCAAAGUUCGAGUCAAAACGACGGUCGGAUGAGCCAGACAUUUCUAGAAAUGAUGAAGGAGAAAUAAGGUCCAAUAAAUCUCUGAAGUACGAAAAUAAGGGGGAAAUGCCUACAAGCAAUAACUCUCUGAACGUACUUCUUGCACACAAUUGGUGCCCCUAUAAAAGAAAGGACAACAGGGUCGUUGGUUCAAAAAUCGAAGAGGCACCACUCUUCGGAUUUCAAAGAGGCAUUAUUCUCCACACGCAACAUCAGCUCAUCAGGUACCACAUAUAACUUUACCAAAGAUCUCUGACAAAGUUUAGACACAUAAAUUUUGAAGGUCCAACUACCCUACUAUUACCCACAAAGGUAAAGGAACAACACCACUGCUUGAUAACUGGAAAGUCCCUAUGUGUGUCAACAUCCGUGCUCCGUGGCAAGGCACACUGACAAAAAUGCCCAAUCUUUACUCACAUCGAGAAAACACUCCCAACAUGAUUACUUGCUCAAAAAUCGAAGAGUCACCACUCCCUGAAUCUCGAGAGCCAAACUCUCACCAGGAUUGCUUUCUCAAAAAUGGAAGAGUCACCGCUAUCCAACUCUCGAGAGCCAGACUCACAACAGGGUUACUUUUUCAAAAAUCGAAGAGGCACAGCUUUCCAAAUCUCGAGAGCCAAACUCCCAACAUGAUUUGUUUCUCAAAAAUUAAAGAGGCAUCGCUCUCCGAAUCUCGAAAGCCAGACUCCCAAUAAGAUUGCUUUCUCAAAAAUCGAAGAGGCACCGCUCUCCGAAUCUCGAAAGCCAGACUCCCAAUAAGAUUGCUUUCUCAAAAAUCGAAGAGGCACCACUCUCCGAAUCUCAAGAGCCAGACUCCCAACAAGAUUACUUUCUUAAAAAUCAAAGAGGCACCGUUCUCCGAAUCUCGAGAGUCAGAUCCCCAACUGGAUUGCUUGUUCGAAAACCGAAGAGGCACCACUCUCUAAACUUUGAGAGCCAGAUUUCCUUGGAUAAAGCUUAUCUGCAAUCUUCACAUGCAACAUCAGCUUUCCAGAUACCACAUACCACUUUUUCAAAGUGCUUUGACAAAGUUAAAACACGUGAAUCUUACGGUUCCCACUACAUUGCUAUGACCGAGAAAGGUAAAGGAACAGCGUUACUACUCGCUGUUAGGACAAUUCCUAUAUAUGUCGACCUUCAUCCUCCAUAGCCAGGCAAAGUUGCAAAUAAAAAAAUGCUCAACUUUUCAUCACAUCCGAGAGGGCACUCUCAGUAGAGUCUCUCAAAAUACUCAGCUUAUUUUCCCCUCGAUAAUACCUCUGCAAACAAGCCACACCAGAGCCAGAGUAUCUCAUAUCAUCAGGGUUAAAAGUUAGAGUAUCUCAUAUCAUGUUUUUUCCCUAUCUUUUCCUUUUGCCUUGUUCUUACCUACAAAACAAUGAGAAAGAGAGCAAUCAGUCAGCACUUGGAAUCAAGCUUCCAGUCAGGAACUGACUAUCUGGAGCUCCUUACCUGAUUACUUACUUGGCAUUGCUCUCGAGUACUCAUCUUCAACAUCUUAUGCUUCCAGAAAAGAUACCACAUCUGCCUGAAGAACAGAUAGGGUAAGUGAGAAAGAUACAAGGAAGCAUAUGGAGACAAGCGCAACAGAACACGUGCCGAUUCAUCUAUUACUUUGUCAACAGCAAAAGUAUCUCAUAUCAUCAAGGUCGAACGCACUCUUGAUUUGAUGGACUUGUUUUGACCCUCAAAUUCUUGAGUCGGCCUUAUACUCUUGAGGAAACUAGAAAACCCUUCAGCCCAGUUCAAGAAUAAGCCUGUGGAAAGUUACUUCUUCAAAAGCAAAAGUAUCUUAUAUCAUCUCUUCUCAUUUUUCUUCUAUUUAUCCUUCAUGCUGCCUGCAAGAUAAGGAGAAUGAGAACAAUCAGCCGGAACUCGAAAUCAAACUUCUAAUCUGGGACUGAUUGCUUGGAGCUCUGAUUGAUUACCUUGUCUGUCACCUCUUUUGGCAGAUCUCCUAGCUCGGCGACUUGGGGGACUCCUACUACAUGGUUUGUAUCGCGCUUGACCAAGCCUGAAACUACAAGUAAGCUUCAAGUGAAAUUAAUACAUUACCUUGUGCAUCUUCACCGAUUAAAGAUACCACCCCUGGAUGGAGGAAGAGUACUUCCAGAGAAGAUGCCACAUCUACAUAUGAGACAGAUAAGGCAAGUGAAGACGAUACCACACUUCGGUGCUUAGAAGUUUCGUGAUUACUCAGCGGCUUGGAUCUUGCAAGUCCCCAACCGAGAAGCUUCCCUCAUUCGGGAACUUAGGGGAGCACUGUUUGUACCAUACUUGACCAAUCCCGAAACUACUGAUCACCGGUCAACGUUAUACUAUCAAGGACCCAGAAGAGUUUCCCUACAACCAGGAGGCCAAUCACAGUGCAACACGUGUCGAUAUCAGAAACCAAUCACAGCGCGACACGUGUCAACAUCAGAAGCCAAUCACAACACGACACGUGUCAAUGUCAGAAUAAAGCGAGAAACUCUUCUAUAAAAGGAGAUCAUUCUCCCACAAUAUUUCGUAAUGUCAUUUGUACUAAAUCAUUCACUUGUACUCACUAAAGGAGAGCUUGAACCUAUGUACUUGUGUAAACCUUCACAAUUAAUGAGAACUCCUCUACUCUGUGGACGUAGCCAAUCUGAGUGAACCACGUACAUCUUGUGUUUGUUUCCCUAUCUCUAUCCAUUUACAUACUUAUCCACACUAGUGACCGGAGCAAUCUAGCGAAGGUCACAAACUUAACAUUUUCUGUUGCACCAAAGUCCUCCCUCAUUUUGUGCAUCAACAAAGUCUAUUGAGGCCAUGGUUGGAAUUUUAAAAUUUGGGAACUUUAACGAAAAGCUCCCAGUACUGUUCACUUUAACGAAAUACCACAUUUUUACACUAAAAAGUCAAUUUUGGUACUAUUCAUUUUACCCUUUAUUUUGUCCUUAUCAUUAAAACUCAAAGUUUUCAUGCCCUUUUCAUUAGUUUUCCUUAAAAUUUUGGUUUGCUUGUUUUUGGGUUAGGUUUGUUGAGGUUUGAGUUUUUGUCUCUCCUUGAAAUGAUUCAAAACUAGGGAAGUUCUAUGAAAUGUAUUUUGUGUUUUAGUGUACAAAGAUUUGGUGACCAUGUAUUGCUAAUUUAAAAGUGUGGGGCUAAUGCUGGAGCUCCAUCAUGUUUAUAUGUUUAUGAACUUAGCAGGACUAUGAAUUUGUUGUUUAUCUUUCUCUAGGGUUAGAGAAUGCCUCAUUUCGGCGAUCAAUCCCUCAACCUCAUCGCCCAUAUAUGCCGCAAAGCGAAUGAAGUAGCGCACUUUCUAGCCCGCUCGACACUUCUUUGUAAUGGUUUUUUGGUCUUGGUCUGAAGAACCUCCUGAUCUCUCUUCUGUGUAUAUCUCUUCGACCAUUUGGUCUUUCAAUGAAACACUGCUGAUUUUCAAAAAAAUAAAAAAUAAAUAAAAUUCGGUAAUCGUUGAAGAUUGGAGGUUGCAUUGAGCGUUUCUCACCCUCGACUUUGUCACAUUGAUAUCGCGAUCGCAUACAUUAUCUGACAUGGACGCAGUAUAUAUCAUUGUUGUCGGCGGAAAUAUAGGGGAAACCAUGGCUGUAGCUGUGAAAUCUACUGAAGAAUCAACAAAACAGAAUAAACCUUUAACAAGACAGAGGCAAGUGGUUGUGACAGGAACGAGUGUGGUGACCCUACGCGGUCAUGAUUCUGAUGUUUUCUACAAUAAUUUGCUUGAGGGAGUUCGUGGCAUUAGUCAUUAGUGAGAUAGAAGCUUUUGAUUGCACCCAAUUUCCAGCAGUAGAAGUCAUGGAGACGUUAGAUAAGGCAAAAUGUGUGGUUUUCAUUGGCUCAACAAUGGGUGGCAUGAAGGUAAGCCCAGUGUUCUGUGCCUUAAUAUUAUGUACACUUUUUGCGGAACGUUGAAAGAUCUUUCUACCGGUUUGUCUUCAAUUUGAUGUUUUUAGCAAGCAUGGUUUAUAGUUUGUAAUCCUCCAAAUGUCAUUUUUGGUGGAGAUGCACGAAGACUAGUUUCUCUGAUUUCAGAACUGGACUUGUUUAUGUUCUUUAUCUGUUAAUUUAAGACAGUGUAUCAGUACCACAAAAUCUGAUUUCAGAACUGGAUUUUUUUGUGGAGAUCCGCAAAAUCUGAUUUUGGGACAAGAUCUGAUGUGUUUUUCAUCACUUCAGUCAUGUUUGAUAAAUCCAUUUUGUGUUUUGAUAUUGAAGCUUUACAGUUUUCCUAUAAGAAGGUGAACCCUUUCUCUGUACCUUUGCAACCACAAAUAUGGCUGCCAUGCUCGCAAUGGAUCUUGUGAGAUUAUAAUAUAUUCGAUGCAAUACUCUUACAAUUCGUGAUGGCUGCUGAUUUUGUACUUGUCCUUUUAACUGAUAUUUAUUCUUACACUUGCAGGGUUGGAUGGUCCCAAACUAUUCAACCUCUACUGCUUGUGCUACAAGCAGCUUCUGUACUUUGAAUUCGGCAAAUCAUAUCAUUAAAGCCAAAGCAGUAAGUAUUCCUACAAGCAGCUUCUGUACUUUUAAGUAUAUUAUAAUAACUGAUAUACAAUUUUCUUUGAAAUCUUACGCAGGACCUUAUGCUCUGUGGUGGUUCAGAUUAAGUGAUGAUACCUCUUGGUAUUGCUCCCAUUCUUUGCAAAUGUUAUUUCUUAGUUUUACUUGGAUUUGCACGUACAAUAAUCUUGUUCUUGCAAUUAUUGGAGGAAUGGGAGGCUUUGUGGCAAGCAGAGCACUGACACAAAGAAACAAUGAUCCGACCAAAGCAUCACGCCCUUGGGAUAGUGUAAUGCGUCCAAUAACUAUGCUAGAUUCAUUUAUUCUUUUAUUUCCACUGUGAUGGCUUUGUUAGGAGGGAAGGAGCUGGCGUUUUGCCUCCGGAAGAGUUAGAACAUGCUAUGGUAUUUUCUAAAUCUAUGACCUUGGCAAUGGCAAUUGGGUGUCUGUCUGGAUAUCCUUUUUUUUCUGUUAAGGUUGUAGGUGCAAUGUCUGUAGGGACGUUCUGUAUCCUGUGGUUCCCUCAAGCUCUAUGGUCUCACAAACACGUUUUCUAAUCAUUCAUCUGUAUCUCACUAUGCAAUAUGGUGUUUUUUUUAUUAAUGUCCUUGGAAACAGGGGCCGGGGUUAUUCUCUGCAUUGAAAAGGCUUUAGAACAGUCUGGGAUGUCUAGGGAAGAUGUUAAUUACAUUAAUGUACAUGCUACAUCCACACCGGCCGGAGAUCUCAAGGAGUAUAAUGCACUCAUUCAUUGUUUUGGCCAGAAUCCUGAUGUAACAACAAUACAUUGUUGACUUGUAUUAGGAUUCCUAUAAUUGUGGGAUUCCUACUGUAAUUGGUUUCCUAGUUUAGGAUAUAAUUAUUCUUUCCCUUAUUCUUUCCCAUAUCUGUAUAGGGUUGUAUAUAUACCUUGUUUUGAUAUGAAAUCAAAAUAUAAUUGAAAGGCAUUCUUUCUUCUUGGCACCAGAGCCGGGUUAGAAAAACACUGAACCCUAAUUUUUUUUUUUUCCUGCCGUGUACCUGAUCCAUUGCAGCGAGCAACCUUAGGGUUGUUGCUGCCCGUUCCCUGACUGAUUGCAGCGAGCACCAGAGAAGGUGUUGCUGCCCUGACCGAUUGCAGCGAGCACCAGAUAGGGUGUUGCUGCCCUGUUGAUUUGUCCAACGCGUUCUAGGUCCCAUCACCGCUGCUGUUUUUUUUCUCUGCCUAGUUUGUGUCAGUCAACACCGAAGCAACAGAGAGAUGGCUGAAGAAAAGGGGGCUGGUUCACAGGUUGUUUCAGUGGCUGCUCCAAUUAUGGUGCAGUCAGAGAAUUCAAGCUUUAAUAUUGGUAUGGUUUUGGAUGAAAAGAACUAUGAUUUAUGGGCUCCCCUCAUUCAAAUUCAUAUUGUUGGAAGGAAGAAGAUGGGAUAUCUUCGUGGGUCUAUCAAGGCACCUAGCGAAGACGAUCCUAAAUAUGAUGGUUGGUUUUCUGAAGAUCAAAAAAUUAAGAGUUGGCUUUUGUCUUCAAUGAAGCCCGAGAUUAUGAAACGGUACAUUCGGUUGUCUACAUCGAAGGAGAUUUGGGACUCCUUGAAGGCAGCCUACUUUGAUGAGAAUGACGAGGCUAGAAUUUAUUCGUUGAAUCAGAAGGCAUCCCAACUACGUCAGAAUGGCCGACCCUUAGCUACCUAUUUUGGGGAGCUCACUGAGAUCUUCCAAGAAUUGGAUCACUUUAAUAAAGUAUCCAUGGAGUGUGAGAAUGACAUCAAAGUGUUUCAGAAAUCCACUGAGAGACAACGGGUCUAUGUGUUUCUCGGUGGUCUCGAUGAUGGGUUUGAUCAGGUGCGUGGAGAAGUGCUGCGGAAGGAUCCCCCACUUGGCCUGCAGGCUUCUUAUGCCUAUGUUCGUCGAGAAGCCGAUCGAAAGGAAGCAAUGAAGACAGAGGUUGACAAGGGGGAGUCUGUUGCCAUGGCAGCAAGGGCCCGUGGAUCAUCUAGUGGGUCGAACCGAGAAGGGGUACAAAACCGGCCUGGAUCAACUCAGCCGAGCCAGACAAGCCGGGAUCGUCCACAAGGUAAGUGCCCACACUGUGGCUUAACGGGACACUACAAGAGUCGUUGUUUUGAGCUGAUUGGAUAUCCCGAGAAUUGGGAUAAGACCCGUGAUCCUCGGUGCAACAAAUCUCGAGCCUCCAUUGCUGAAACCAAGAAUGAUUCGGAUCAGAUAGCGGACAAGGCAUCUGCCAUGAUAGCUGCGGCAGGAAGUGAUGGUAAGGCACUCAGUACUUCUACUUCUGUUAUGAAUAAUACAUGGAUAAUUGAUUCCGGAGCUACUGAACAUAUGACUUGUGAUUCUAGACAGGUUCCAUCACUAAAAACAUCCACACAAACCGAGGUCAAUGUUACUAAUGGUAAUGCCGUCCCUGUUAUUGGGGAAGGUGCUGUUUCCCUUUCCGAUACCAUGAAACUUGACACUGUUCUUGUGGUUCCCUCUCUAAAUUAUAAUUUGUUGUCCGUUGCUCAAAUAACCCUUGCCUUACAUUGUUUGGUUAUUUUUUGGCCCUAUUUUUGUGUUUUUAAGGACAUCCAGACGCGGAAGAUGAUUGGUUAUGGUAUUAGAAGAGGGAAACUUUAUUACUUGGAGUUGACCACCAGUAGUUCUAGCUUGCUGACGCAAGCUCUUUCCGUUGAUGAUUCUCAAGGGGUUACUAAUAAAGUGUCAGACAUCUGGAUGUCGCCUUGGGCAUGCUUCCUUUGGUUAUCUGCAUAAGUUAUUUCCUAGUUUGUUUGUCAAGAAUGAUGUUUCUCAGUUUAAGUGUGAUGUUUGUGAAAUGGCUAAGAGUCAUCGAACCUCUUUUCCUCCCAGUUUAAAUAAAAGUACCGUUCCUUUUAUGAUUGUGCAUUCUGAUGUAUGGGGACCGUCAAAAGUAGCCACUCUUGGUGGUGCUCAUUGGUUUGUUACUUUUAUUGAUGAUUGUACCCGCGUGACUUGGGUUAUUUUGUUAAAGUCGAAGAGUGAAGUUAGUUCGGCCUUCCAACGGUUUCAUAAAAUGAUUGUUGUACAAUACAACAGGAAUAUCCAGGUUCUUCGCAAUGACAAUGGGGGAGAAUAUGUUAAUAUGGAACUUCGUUCAUUCUUCGAGUUGCAUGGUAUUGUUCAUCAGACUACGUGUCCGUAUACUCCUCAACAGAAUGGGGUUGCAGAAAGGAAAAAUCGACACUUGUUGGAAAUGGUUCGUGCUUCCCUACUUGUGGCACAUCUGCCGCUCCAUUAUUGGGGAGAGGCACUUACGUCUGCAACUUAUCUUAUUAAUCGCCUUCCAUCUCGGACUCAACUUCCAUACGCCAUUUCAGGCUCUCACAUCUCAGACUAGCAGCCCCCCGACUCCCAAUCUUCCCCCACGGGUCAUCGGAUGUGUUGCGUUUGUUCACCUUCAUCCACCUCAACGGAAGACUAAACUUGAACCUAGAGCUCUUCGUUGUGUUUUUUUGGGGUAUGCUACUACCCAGAAAGGGUAUCGUUGUUAUCAUCCUUCGAGUAAAAAGAUGUUUAUUACUAAAGAUGUGAGUUUUCACAAGACUAAAAUGUUCUUUGGUUCCUCCCCGUCCUCACUUCAGGGGGAGUACCACAAUGAUGAAGUUCUGACUCGCGAUAAUAGGGAUGUGGUGAGCUUGGAGUACACGGCUUCUGGAAGAGGGCAACAACCCACGGUACCUGGAGAAGGGCAGCAGCCAAUGCCCGUGACACCUGGAGAAGGGCAGCAGCCCGUGUUUUCUAGGUUUAGUCCUACCGAGCAGCCUACUGAGGAGCAGCCAACAAGUCAGGAAGAGGAGCAGCCCACGGGUCUCACGGGUAUUGAGUUGGAAGAUGAGAUGCAGCCGCCCAAUUGCCGUGAAACAGAGCAGAAAUUACAGCAUGUGUCACGAGAUACUACUUCUCAUAACCAAUCGUCUUCUACACCGGAUGCACCUCUACUUCGUCGCCUUCCAGAACGCAUUAAUAGAGGUAUUCCCAAACCCACUUAUGAGGCAGAUCCUGAGUGUAAACACAAGUAUUCCAUGAGUGAGCCAAACUCUGAUUCCAGAGUGAGAUACCCAUUAAAUCAUUAUGUGUCUACUUGUCACCUGUCAGAAUCAAAUAAGUCAUUUGUAUAUCAAUUAUCUACUGUAUCUAUUACUAACAGUGUGCAGGAGGCUUUAGCAGAUUCCCGCUAGAAAGAUGCAAUGAACGAGGAAUUUAGAUCGUUGAAGAAGAAUGCUACCUGGGAAAUAACUGACUUGCCAGCCGGAAAGAAAAUAGUGGGAUGCAAAUGGGUUUAUACAGUAAAAUAUAAAGCCGACGGAACGGUAGAUCGCUUUAAAGCAAGAUUGGUGGCAAAGGGGUAUACACAGAAAUAUGGCAUUGAUUACACUGAUACGUUCGCACCAGUGGCAAAGAUCAAUACAGUUCGUGUUCUACUGUCCUUAGCAGCAAAUCUGGAUUGGCCUUUGCAACAGUUCGACGUAAAAAAUGCUUUCCUCCAUGGAGAUCUGACUGAGGAGAUUUACAUGGACCUUCCACCAGGGUGCAGUGAUUCGGACAGACAGAAACAAAAGGUAUGUAGGCUCAAGAAAUCACUGUAUGGAUUAAAGCAGUCUCCGAGAGCCUGGUUUGGUAGAUUUACCAAGUCCAUGAGGGCAUUUGGGUAUAUACAGAGUAAUUGGGAUCACACGUUGUUUCUGAAACACCAGAACGGAAAGGUUACGGCUCUAAUCGUGUAUGUGGAUGAUAUGGUGGUUACUGGUGAUGAUCCUGUUGAGCAAGCAGCCUUGAAAAGUUAUUUGUCCACAGAAUUUGAAAUGAAAGAUCUUGGUCCUUUGAAAUAUUUUCUUGGGAUUGAAGUAUCAAGAUGCAAGUUCGGGAUAUUCCUAUCACAAAGGAAGUAUGUUCUUGACCUGUUGGAAGAAACCAGUAUGACAGCAUGUAAGCCGGUGUCUACUCCGUUGGCCGAAUGAAUGAAGUUGGGUAUAGAUCAGAACCAAGUACCGGUUGAUAAAGGGAGGUAUCAAAGGUUAGUAGGAAGAUUAAUGUACUUGGCUCACACUAGGCAUGAUCUUGCUCAUGCCUUAAGUGUGAUUAGUCAAUAUAUGCACAAUCCAGGAGAACAACAUAUGAGUGCAGUUAUGAGAAUAUUGAGUUACUUAAAGGGGAGCCCUGGUAAAGGAAUUUUAUUUCGGAAAAAUGAGCAUUUCAGAAUUGAGUGCUAUACGGAUGCUGAUUGGGCAGGAUCGACGGAUGAUAGACGCUCGACAUCUGGGUAUUUCACCUUUGUUGGGGGAAAUCUAGUAACGUGGAGAAGCAAGAAGCAGAAUGUCGUAUCAAGGUCAAGUGCAGAAGCCGAAUUUAGAGGCAUGGCACUCGGUAUUUGUGAACUCUUGUGGCUUAAGUUUCUGUUGCAAGAUGUGGGGGUCAAACAAGGUCUGCCUAUGAAGUUAUUCUGUGACAAUAAAGCUGCACGGGAUAUUGCUCAUAAUCCUGUGCAACAUGAUCGGACCAAGCAUGUAGAGGUGAUCGGUUCUUUAUUAAAGAGAAGCUAGAUAGUAAAGUAAUUGAGGUUUCUCCCAUAGGAACGGAUGACCAAGUAGCAGAUAUUCUCACAAAGGCGGUUUCUAGUAACAAGUUCUCCAAAUUUCUAGACAAGUUGGGCAUGUGCAACAUCUAUGCACCAACUUGAGGGGGAGUGUUGACUUGUAUUAGGAUUCCUAUAAUUGUGGGAUUCCUACUGUAAUUGGUUUCCUAGUUUAGGAUAUUAUUAUUCUUUCCCUUAUUCUUUCCCAUAUCUGUAUAGGGUUGUAUAUAUACCUUGUUUUGAUAUGAAAUCAAAAUAUAAUUUAAAGGCAUUCUUUCUUCUUACAUAACAUGCAUUUUCUGUUUUCUUAAUUCCUGUAUUUCCAGUUGAGAGUGAACUCUACAAAAUCCAUGAUUGGUCACCUACUGGGAGCAUCUGGUGCUGUAGAAGCUGUUGCAGCAGUACAGGUAACUUACGUGAUGUUUUUUACUUGGAAAAACUGUACUAUUUUUAGACCUUAUAUGUAAGACCAAAUACAAUUCUUGUUUGUUUGGCUUGAAGUGUAGUUCUUGACAUGUUAUCUUCUUUUUGGGUAGGCGAUAAGAACUGGGUGGAUACAUCCAAAUAUUAAUCUGGAAAGCCCAGAUGAGGGCGUGGUACGUUGUCUUCCGUUCCCUUGUAACCCUUUUCUGGUAUAUAAUGUCCAAUGAAAGUGUAUUUGGAAUCCUCUAACUCUGUCAGCACAUGAAUGCAGGAUACAAAACUACUGGUGGGUCCAAAGAAAGAGAGACUGGACGUUAAGGUGGCAUUGUCUAACUCAUUUGGGUUCGGUGGCCACAACUCAUCGGUCUUGUUUGCCCCUUACAAGUAGAAACAUAGAUCUCAGUGUGCUACUCCAACCUUUGAUGCAAUCGUACUGCAGGUAUGUUUGCAUACUGCCACCUUUUUAUUAGAAAUAAGAAAGAAUUGUAAUAUGUAAACAAAUGAAGCAAAGUGUCGGGAUUGCUACUCUGUCCGAGAGUUAAUAUCUUUCAACUUGAAAUCAACAUAGUAGAACAGUUACGAGCACUGUCACAUAUUUCUUCAACAAUGAAAUCAAUGAUCUUUCUUUCGCCGGAUGGGAAAUUCAGUCGGAGUGUUACGUGGAUAAAACGUCGUGAGCCUUUGGGAAGUGGGUCUUAUGGGACUGUGUAUGAAGGCUUAACUGAGUAAGUGGUCAUCUUCCACAUCCAACAACAACAACAACAACAAAGCCUUUUCCCAUUAAGUGGGGUCGGCUAUAUGAAUCCUAGAACGCCAUUGCGCUCGGUUUUGUGUCAUGUCCUCCGUUAGAUCCAAGUACUCAAGUCUUUUCUUAGGGUCUCUUCCAAAGUUUUCCUAGGUCUUCCUCUACCCCUUCGGCCCUGAACCUCUGUCCCGUAGUUACAUUUUCGAACCGGAGCGUCAGUAGGCCUUCUUUGCACAUGUCCAAACCACCGGAACCGAUUUUCUCUCAUAUUUCCUUCAAUUUUGGCUACUCCUACUUUACCUCGGAUAUCCUCAUUCCCAAUCUUAUCCUUUCUCGUGUGCCCAUACAUCCCACGAAGCAUCCUCAUCUCCGCUACACCCAUUUUGUGUACGUGUUGAUGCUUCACCGCCCAACAUUCUGUGCCAUACAACAUCGCUUGGCCUUAUUGCCGUCCUAUAAAAUUUUCCCUUGAGCUUCAGUGGCCUACGACGGUCACACAACACGCCGGAUGCACUCUUACACUUCAUCCAUCCAGCUUGUAUUCUAUGGUUGAGAUCUCCAUCUAAUUCUCCGUUCUCUUGCAAGAUAGAUCCUAGGUAGCGAAAAACGGUCACUUUUUGUGAUCUUCGCUAGAUUGCUCCGGUCAUUAGUGUGGAUAAGUAUAUAAAUGGAUAGAGAUAGGAAAGCAAACACAAGAUGUACGUGGUUCACCCAGAUUGGCUACGUCCACGGAAUAGAGGAGUUCUCAUUAAUUGUGAAGGGUUUACACAAGUACAUAGGUUCAAGCUCUCCUUUAGUGAGUACAAGUGAAUGAUUUAGUACAAAUGACAUUAGGAAAUAUUGUGGGAGAAUGAUCUCGUAACCACGAAACUUCUAAGUACCGGAGUGUGGUAUCGUCUUGACUUGCCUUAUCUGUCUCAUAGGUAGAUGUGGCAUCUUCUCUGGAAGUACUCUUCCUCCAUCCAGGGGUGGUAUCUGUAACUGGUGGAGAUGCACAAGGUAAUGUAUCAAUUUCACUUGAAGCUUACUUGUAGUUUCAGGCUUGGUCAAGCGCGAUACAAACCAUGUAGUAGGAGUCCCCCAAGUCGCCGAGCUAGGGGAUCUGCUGAAAGAGGUGACAGACAAGGUAAGCAAUCAGAGCUCCGGCUGAUUGUUCACAUUCUCCCUAUCUUGCAGGCAGCAUGAAGGAUAAAGAGAAGAAAAAAUGAGAAGAGAUGAUAUGGGAUACUUUUGCUUUUGAAGAAGUAACUUUCCACAGGCUUAUUCUUGAACUGGGCUGGAGGGUUUUCUGGUUUCCUCCAGAGUAUAAGGCCGACUGAAGAAUUUGAGGGUCAAAACAAGUCCAUCAAAUCUAGAGUACGUUCGACCCUGCUGAUAUGGGAUACUUUUGCUUUUGACAGAGUAGUGGAUGUAUCGGCACGUGUGCUGUUACGCUUGUCUCCACAUGCUUCCUUGUAUCCUUCUCACUUGCCCUAUCUGUUCCUCAGGCAGAUGCGGUAUCUUCCCUGGAAGCAUAAGAUGUUGAAGAUGAGUACUCGAGAGCAAUGCCAGGUAAGUAAUCAGGUAAGGGGUUCCAGGCAGUCAGUUCCUGGCUGGAAGCUUGAUUCCAAGUGCUGACUGAUUGCUCUCUUUCUCCUUGUCUUGCAGGUAAGAACAAGGCCAAAGGAAAAGACAGGGAAAAAGCAUGAUAUGGGAUACUCUUGCUUUUAACCCUGAUGAUAUGAGAUAUUCUUGCUCUAGUAUAGCUUGUUUACAGAGGUAUUAUCGGGGGGAAAGAAAGCUGAAUAUUUCGAAAGGCUUCGUUGGGAGUGCCCUCUCAGAUAAGAGAAAGGGUUGAGCAUUUUUGCAGGUCUGCCUGUCCGUUAGGGAUGGAGGUCGACAUAUAUAGGAGUCUCCCUAACAUCAAGUAAUAAUGCUAUUCCUUUACCCUGCUUGGUCAUAGCACGGUAGUGGGAGCUGCCAGCUUCACAUGUUUUAACUCUGUCAGAGCACUUUGAAAAAGUGGUCUGUGGUAUCUGGAAAGCUGAUGUUGCGUGUGAAGAUUACAGACAAGCUUUAUCCAAGGAGAUCCAGCUCUUGAAGUUGGGAAAGUGGUGCCUCUUCGAUUUUUCGAACAAGCAAUCCUGUCGGGGAUCUGGCUCUCGAGAUUCGGAGAACGAUGCCUCUUCGAUUUUUGAGAAAGCAAUCCUGCUGGGGGUCUGGCUCUCGAGAUUCGGAGAGCGGUGUCUCUUCGAUUUUUGAGAAAGUAAUCAUGUUGGGAGUCUGGCUCUCGAGAUUCGGAGGGCGGUGCCUCUUCGAUUUUGGAGCAAGCAAUCUUGUUGGGAGUGUUUUCUCGAAUGUGAGUAAAGGUUGGGCAUGUUUGCUAGUCUACCUUGCCACGAAGCACAGAGGUUGACACACAGGGACUUUCCAAUUAUCCAGCAGUGGUACUGUUCCUUUACCCUCUCUUCGAUUUUUGAGAAAGUAAUCAUGUUGGGAGUCUGGCUCUCGAGAUUCGGAGGGCGGUGCCUCUUCGAUUUUGGAGCAAGCAAUCUUGUUGGGAGUGUUUUCUCGAAUGUGAGUAAAGGUUGGGCAUGUUUGCUAGUCUACCUUGCCACGAAGCACAAAGGUUGACACACAGGGACUUUCCAAUUAUCCAGCAGUGGUACUGUUCCUUUACCCUCUCUUCGAUUUUUGAGAAAGUAAUCAUGUUGGGAGUCUGGCUCUCGAGAUUCGGAGGGCGGUGCCUCUUCGAUUUUGGAGCAAGCAAUCUUGUUGGGAGUGUUUUCUCGAAUGUGAGUAAAGGUUGGGCAUGUUUGCUAGUCUACCUUGCCACGAAGCACAGAGGUUGACACACCGGGACUUUCCAAUUAUCCAGCAGUGGUACUGUUCCUUUACCCUUGUGGGUAAUAAUAUGGUAGCUAGACCUUCAAAAUUUAUGUGUCUAAACUUUGUUAGUGUUGUUUCUUUGCUAAUUCUUUUACCCUUCUUGGUCAGAGCGAUGUAGUGGGAGCUGCAAGCUUCACGUGUCUCAACUUUGUCAGAGAACUUUGGCAAAGUUAUCUGUGGUACCCAUGAGCUACUGUUGCGUGUGGGAAGUGGGUGAUUGAACAGUACGAUUCAUGUGCUUUCUACUUCGCCAGAAAUCUUCGACAGAAUGCCCAUAAUUUCCGCAAAGCUGAGUGUGCGUGUGACAGGUGCUGACAAGGCUGGAAAAGUAGGUGCCUCUUCGAUUUCUGAGAUCGGCCCUCUCGUGGUCUCUGAGCAGCCCAGCUUUUGAGAAAGCAAGCCUCUUCGAUUUCUGAGAUCGGCCUUCGUGGUCUUUGAGCAGCCCAGCUUUUGAGAAAGCAAACGCCUCUUCGAUUUCUGAGAUCGACCCUCGUGGUCUCUCUGAGCAGCCCAGCUUUUGAGAAAGCAAACGCCUCUUCGAUUUCUGAGCAGGCGCCUCUUCGAUUUCUGAAGCUUCGUCGAGUGCAGAUUUUUAUAGGGGCUGACAUUAAGUUCCAAAGCACACUUGAAUAUCCACCAGUAGAAGCUCCAUUCUUGCACUUCUAAGAUCUUGAUUUGUCCGACCUCUUCUCUCUUCAACACCUUUGAAAAUGUCUGGCCCCUCCGACCGUCGUUUUGACUUGAACCUUGUUGAAGAGGCAGCCCCGCCUUCUCCAGACAACAUAUGGCGCCCAUCCUUCGUCUCCCCUACUGGUCCUCUUACCGUUGGGGAUUCCGUGAUGAAGAAUGAUAUGACCGCUGCGGUAGUGGCCAGGAACCUUCUCACUCCCAAAGAUAACAGACUACUUUCCAAACGGUCUGAUGAGUUGGCUGUUAAGGAUUCUCUGGCUCUCAGUGUUCAGUGUGCAGGUUCUGUGUCUAAUAUGGCCCAACGCCUAUUUGCUCGAACCCGCCAAGUUGAAUCAUUGGCGGCUGAAGUGAUGAGUCUCAAACAGGAGAUUAGAGGGCUCAAGCAUGAGAAUAAACAGUUGCACCGGCUCGCACAUGACUAUGCUACAAACAUGAAGAGGAAGCUUGACCAGAUGAAGGAAUCUGAUGGUCAGGUUUUACUUGAUCAUCAGAGAUUUGUGGGUUUGUUCCAAAGGCAUUUAUUGCCUUCGUCUUCUGGGGCUGUACCGCGUAAUGAAGCUCCAAAUGAUCAACCUCUGAUGCCUCCUCCUUCUAGGGUUCUGUCCAGUACUGAGGCUCCGAAUGAUCCCCCUCCGGUGCCUUCUCUUUCUGGGGCUCUACCGACUGCUGAGACUUCUCCUAAGCAACCUUUGUGAAGGCUCCCUCUUGUUUGUUUAUUUUGACUCAAGUAUAUGUACAUAUUUGUAACUUAUCGGGGAUAUCAAUAAAUAAGCUUUCCUUCAUUUCAACGUAUUGUGUUAAAUACACCAAAGCCUUCUUCGCUAAGUUCUUUGAAUUUUCUUUUGUUGAAGCUUGUAUGUUGAAGCUUUGUGAGUGGAGCAUGUAGGUUGAGGUAGUGUUCCCUUAAUUUCCCGAGUGAGGAAAACUUCUCGGUUGGAGACUUGGAAAAUCCAAGUCACUGAGUGGGAUCGGCUAUAUGAAUCUUAGAACGCCAUUGUGUUCUGUCCUGUGUCAUGUCCUCCGUUAGAUCCAAGUACUCUAAGUCUUUUCUUAGGGUCUCUUCCAAAGUUUUCCUAGGUCUUCCUCUACCCCUUCGGCCCUGAACCUCUGUCCCAUAGUCGCAUCUUCUAAUCGGAGCGUCAGUAGGCCUUCUUUGCACAUGUCCAAACCACCGUAACCGAUUUUCUCUCAUCUUUCCUUCAAUUUCGGCUACUCCUACUUUACCCCGGAUAUCCUCAUUCCUAAUCUUAUCCUUUCUCGUGUGCCCACACAUCCAACGAAGCAUCCUCAUCUCCGCUACACCCAUUUUGUGUACGUGUUGAUGCUUCACCGCCCAACAUUCUGUGCCAUACAGCAUCGCCGGCCUUAUUGCCGUCCUAUAAAAUUUUCCCUUGAGCUUCAGUGGCAUACGGCGGUCACACAACACGCCGGAUGCACUCUUCCACUUCAUCCAUCCAGCUUGUAUUCUAUGGUUGAGAUCUCCAUCUAAUUCUCCGUUCUUUUGCAAGAUAGAUCCUAGGUAACGAAAACGGUCGCUCUUUGGUAUUUCUUGAUCUCCGAUCCUCACCCCUAACUCGUUUUGGCCUCCAUUUGCACUGAACUUGCACUCCAUAUAUUCUGUCUUUGAUCGGCUUAGGCGAAGACCUUUAGAUUCCAACACUUCUCUCCAAAGGUUAAGCUUUGCAUUUACCCCUUCCUGAGUUUCAUCUAUCAACACUAUAUCGUCUGCGAAAAGCAUACACCAAGGAAUAUCAUCUUGAAUAUGUCCUGUUAACUCAUCCAUUACCAACGCAAAAAGGUAAGGACUUAAGGAUGAGCCUUGAUGUAAUCCUACAGUUAUGGGAAAGCUUUCGGUUUGUCCUUCAUGAGUUCUUACGGCAGUCUUUGCUCCUUCAUACAUAUCCUGUUAUAGCUUGGAUAUAUGCUACUCGUACUCCUUUCUUCUCUAAAAUCCUCCAAAGAAUGUCUCUUGGGACCCUAUCAUACGCUUUUUCCAAAUCUAUAAAGACCAUGUGUAAAUCCUUUUUUCCCAUCUCUAUAUCUUUCCAUCAAUCUUCGUAAGAGAUAGAUUGCCUCCAUGGUUGAGCGCCCUGGCAUGAACCCGAAUUGGUUGUCCGAAACCCGUGUCUCUUGCCUCAAUCUAUGCUCAAUGACUCUCUCCCAGAGCUUCAUUGUAUGACUCAUUAGCUUAAUACCCCUAUAGUUCAUGCAAUUUUGUACAUCGCCCUUAUUCUUGUAGAUAGGCACCAAAGUGCUCGUUUCGCCACUCAUUUGGCAUCUUCUUCGUUUUCAAAAUCCUAUUGAAAAGGUCAGUGAGCCAUGUUAUACCUGUCUCUCCCAAAACUUUCCACACUUCGAUUGGUAUAUCGUCUGGGCCUACUGCUUUUCUAUGCUUCAUCUUCUUCAAAGCUACAACCACUUCUUCCUUCCGGAUUCUACGAUAAAAAGAGUAGUUUCUACACUCUUCUGAGUUACUCAACUCCCCUAAAGAAGCACUCCUUUCAUGUCCUUCAUUGAAAAGAUUAUGAAAAUAACCUUCCAUCUGUCUUUAACCGCGUUCUCUGUAGCAAGAACCUUUCCAUCCUCAUCCUUGAUGCACCUCACUUGGUUUAGGUCCCUUGUCUUCUUUUCCCUUGCUCUAGCUAGUUUAUAGAUAUCCAACUCUCCUUCUUUGGUAUCUAGUCGCUUAUACAUAUCGUCAUAAGCCGCUAACUUAGCUUCUCUCACAGCUUUCUUCGCCUCUUGCUUCGCUUUUCUAUACCUUUCACCAUUUUCAUCGGUCCUAUCCUUGUAUAAGGCUUUACAACAUUCCUUCUUAGCCUUCACCUUUGUUUGUACCUCCUCAUUCCACCACCAAGAUUCCUUUUGGUGUGGGGCAAAGCCCUUGGACUCUCCUAAUACCUCUUUUGCUACUUUUCGGAUACAACUAGCCAUGGAAUCCCACAUUUGGUUAGCUUCCCCCUCUCUAUCCCACACACACACUGGGUGAUUACUUUCUCUUUGAAAAUGGCUUGUUUUUCUUCUUUUAGAUUCCACCAUCUAGUCCUUGGGCACUUCCAAGUCUUGUUCUUUUUUCUCACUCUUUUGAUAUGUACAUCCAUCACCAACAAGCGAUGUUGAUUAGCCACGCUCUCUCCUGGUAUAACUUUGCAAUCCUUACAAGUUAUACGAUCCCCUUUCCUCAUUAGAAGAAAAUCUAUUUGUGUUUUUGACGACCCACUCUUGUAGGUGAUCACAUGUUCUUCUCUCUUCUUAAAGAAGGUGUUGGCUAAGAAGAGAUCAUAUGCCAUUGCAAAAUCCAAGAUAGCUUCCCCAUCCUCGUUUCUCUCCCCAAAACCAUGGCCACCAUGAAAACCUCCAUAGUUGCCUGUCUCCCUGCCCACGUGUCCAUUUAAAUCUCCUCCUAUAAAUAACUUCUCCGUCUGAGCAAUUCCUUGCACCAAGUCUCCAAGGUCUUCCCAAAAUUUCUCCUUCGAACUCGUAUCCAACCCUACUUAAGGUGCGUACGCACUAAUCACAUUGAUAAGUUCUUGUCCUAUUACAAUCUUGAUUGCCAUGAUUCUAUCUCCUACCCUCUUGACAUCUACAACAUCUUGUGUCAAGGUCUUGUCCACGAUGAUGCCAACACCGUUUCUCGUUCUAUUUGUGCCCGAAUACCAUAGUUUAAACCCUGUGUGAAUUAAACCCAAUCUGAACAGGACUUGUGAAUUUUAUAUUGUUGGGUUUUACAGCUCAAAAUUAGGAUGAUGCAAAAAAUUAGGUUUGUGUUACCUAUUUGAGUUUGGAUUUUGACUUCUUAGUUGGUUUCCUUGGUGGAGAGAUUUUGUUAAUUACCUAUUUUAUUAGGAUUUGUAUUUACUUCCUAUUAGGAUUCUUAUUGUAACUUAAGUCCUAUGCACUAUAAAUAGGACACCAAGACUACCACCACUUUCAUAACUAGAGGGACCACCAUUCAUGGUUAUAUGAUCUCAUUUCUAAUUUUAUAGUUUAGUGUACUGCUAUCCAUUUACUCACUUCUUUCUUUUUAAUCUUUUGCAUAAUGUAUCCAUAAAACUUUGAGGUAGUCUGGAAAACCUUUAUCCCUACCAUUUCCUAGUUUUGUUUUUCAUAGUGUAAGCAUUCCAUUCUACUUUAGGUGUUUCCACUCAAAGUGUUUGGAAUUUUCUUAGCAAGAAAUUGUAAGGUUAGAAAAAGGAUGGAGAACGUGAAGUUGGUAUUGCAUUAAACUGGGCCUAUUCUGUUCAACAAAAUUAACAUGUUGGUCUCACUCUCUCUGUUUAUCUCAUGCUGCAAAUGUUCUUUUGCAGUGAUAAAGUAGCUUGCUAUAUUUCAAUAUAAUUUAAUAUAUUUAUUCAACUCUCCUGAUUUGUACACUUAGUUGCUCAUUGUAAUAUUAUUACAGGAUGAAACUAAGCUCUAUAUCUUCCUUGAGCUUGUAACAAAAGGCUCACUUGCAAAGUUAUAUCAAAACUAUAACUUAAAGGAUUCUCAAGUCUCUGGGUAUACAAGGCAGAUUCUAAGCGGGUUGACAUAUCUUCAUGAACGUGGCGUGGUUCACAGGUAAUGUCCUUUUGGUACUGGAAUUUUUGUAUUGUGAUUUUUCUGUCUUUUGUGGUUACACUGGAAGAGAUUGAACCAUUGACCUAUACUAAUCUUAGGGGACAAAACUGUGAACAACUAGUAGAACAAACUAUAAGGGAGGGUUUGAAAAAUGGGUGAGGGUCUUCCAAAUUCCAAGGCAUUUAGGCAAAAUAAAGAGGAAAUGGAUCACAAAAUGUUUGGUAGGAGGAAUUAGAAAUGCAUUACAAAAGACAUAAUAGAGGAAUUGCAAAUGACUAUUUGAAAUAUUUUAUAUAGGUAUCAUACACACGAAAAUUUACAAGGAAUAGAGGGACCGGAACAACAUACUUGUCUGUAAUUAAAGUACAACGUAUAGGCCCCAACAAAGAUAAGAUACAACUACGUAAAAAAUAACGAACCAAACAAUCCUUGUUUAACCUACAUUUUUAUAAUUCCCCUGGACAUAUUUUUUCUGCUUUCUAGACUUACGUGUUGCUUAUAUUGAUAUUGAACUUGUAGAAGUUUAAAAUUUGUUUUUAUUAUCUAUAUUUAUGAGAUUAUUUUUUCCAGGGAUAUCAAAUGUGCUAAUAUAUUGGUGCAUGCAAGUGGAUCUGUGAAACUUGCAGACUUUGGGUUAGCCAAGGUACAAUUCCUAAAUGUAUAUUCAUAGAAUUUCCAAUGCUGAAUCAUUCCUUAUUGGCAUUCUGUCUUUCUAGGUGACCAAAUUGAAUGAAUUGAAGUCUUCCAAAGGGACUGCUUAUUGGAUGGCCCCUGAGGUUUGCCUCCUCUCUUUACAGUAAAUGUGUGUUUGUACACAUCGGAUUGAUAUCUCAACAGCUGCCUUUACAUAGUAAUACUAGUAUGAUGUGGAGUAAUUCAUCUAGUUGUGAUUAUCCACGUAGUUAACUCUUUGAUGUACACAACUUAAUUUUCAUCAUUUACCUUGCAAUAGUAUAAUUGGGAAUAAGUUGCUCCGAGCAUGUUGUUCCAGUACGCUGUAAAAUUGUAGGUUGUUAAUCAAAUGAAUGGUGGCUAUGGGCUUGCAGCUGACAUAUGGAGCCUUGGAUGCACUGUGUUAGAGAUGUUAACCCGCCAGCCUCCGUACUUUCCCCUGGAAUGGGUAUGUUCAACAUUUCUGCACAUAUAAUGCUAAUCUUUUACUUUUUCUUUAGGAUAAGAAAUGCAUAAAAAUAUGCCCACAUCACAUUUUGACCUAGAUCAUUGGACGUAGGAGCCAACCUCAUCCCACACAUCCCCCACCGUGUGAUUGUACCUGGAUCAUCUUACUUGUACUCAGCCUUGUGCUACCUAUUCACAAUAUGUUAUUUACUCUUCCAUGCAAGUAACUAGAAUCCUUAAUCAAGAGUCAUGGACCUAUGUUUACCCCUUAACCUGUAUCCGGCUAUUUCUUCUCAGACAUCAGUGACCACUAGCACUAGGGUAACCUUAGUUUUCUUAAUCAAUUUGGACCGUCACUCAUGCGAGAAGGCUAAGACAUUUUAUAGACGCGGCAGAUCACUAAGUUGUCGCCUCUAGAGUCAUUUAGGAAUCUGACAAGAAUCUUAUUCUUGUUUGUGAUGAUUGGCAGAUAGCAGCAUUAUUUCAGAUUAGCAUGGAUAAACUUCCUCCAGUUCCUAAUUCGUUAUCAAGAGAUGCAAAAGAUUUCAUUUUGAAGUGUUUACAAGUUGACCCUAAUAGCCGACCCACAGCGGCUCAGCUAUUGAACCAUCCAUUUGUUGAAAGGCCACUCCACGCUUCCUCUGUCCCAGCUUCUCAUUGCAACAGUUUACGUUCGUGAAUGCUUUGGUCAACCAACCUUCAGUGAUAUUGUUAGGUAAUAUAGAGGAACUGGUUAGUGAUUGGAUCUAUAUACGCUCUCAAGCCAUGGUAGAACAUUAGCUUCCACGAACGUGGUUUGGGGAAGGGGAUAUGCUUCCAAUAUUUUCACAAAGAUGAGAAUGGUUUGCUAAUCAAACGAAGCACCUCUUGGUCCUUGUGUGUGGAUCUGCACUACUAGGGACGUGACGGACCAGAGAAACUUAAAAGCACGUUUUGUAGAUUAUGGACUUUGCUGUAAAAUACGUUUUGUAAACCUCCUGAUGGAUAUAACUCAAUCGAAUAUGAGACUCGGUGGAUCUGUUUGAUAACUAUUUUGUUUUAGUUUUCUUGUUAAAAAUAGAGGGGCAAGAUCUAAACAAGACCUGAAACUUGAACCUCAUUCUCAUGUUAGAUUAAAAAUAGAAUAAAAGCCCAAAGUUCAUCUUAUUGAUGAUUUUCUAAGGGGUAUAUAAUCUGAUUAGUAUAACUCAUGAGAACAGUAACAAACAAAGAUAUCCAAUUCGAUGAAAUAUAUGGCAUAAACUUUGUACAUACUGUAAAUACGGCUCUCAUACAAUACUCGUUUGGAAACACGUCACUCUAAGAAACUUAGAAUACCAUCUGAUUAGUAGAACUAAUCAAAAUUGUAACAAAGCUCAAAUGAUAAAAUGAAGAUGGCAGUUAAUUAUCUAUCAGAUGAAAUCACGGUACUUUCAGCAUGAGAGUAUAAAACCGGUAAGCAGCUGUUUCUGAGACAUUUAGACUGCACAUAUUCUUUGUACUUGGAGACUGAAUCCAUUAGCGAACUUCUGAGUUUCUUCUUCUGUUUGUUUGAUUGCAUCCUGCAAUUUCGGUUUGGAGGUCUGCAAGAAAAAUGAGAUUGGUUAUGAUAUCAAACUUAACAAAAUCCUAGUUAAGGAUUUUCAUAUGGCAUAACAAAUUAAUCACUAUAACACGUUUAAGAAUAAAAAAAACAACUUGAAGUUAAUUAUUCAAGAAAUAAGUCAAACAAAAACCUUCAGAAUCUUGUCUGCUUCUCCUUCCACAGUAUCCAAGUUACGAGUCUGCCUUUGAACAUCUGGAAUUGUAGUCCUGUGUCUCUUUCUUCAACAAGUUCAGUUGAGCUUCAACUAACGGGUGAAUUAUACACAAGUAAAAGAUAAGGUCAAAACAAAAUCCUUGUAAAAUUGUAUUUCUUUCUCAAAGUCCAAACCAUACCGGAGCAAUAACCAUAAGAUGCUUCAAAAGUAAGGGUGGUUUCCAAAAGUCCCACCAUAGGAUCAAUAACCUUUACAGUCGAUAUUUUACUUUGUAUGACAUACACCAGAGCCCUCCAAAACUAAUGUGCUCCCUCAGGCUGCAUUUAUUUUGCCUGCCACCGUUGAAACUUCUGAAACCAGAUUGGUUUCCUCAAGCGGUUCAUGUUUUUUGGGGUCUUUCUCCAAACAUGAAGCAUAAUAGGUUUGCCGUCAUCCAAAAGCAACCUUUAUGUAGUUUGUGUUCGAAAAGCAACCUAUGCACUAUAAAUAGGACACCAAGACUACCACCACUUUCAUAACUAGAGGGACCACCAUUCACGGUUAUAUGAUUCUCAUUUCUAAAUUCCUAGUUUAGUGUACUGCUAUCCAUUUACGCACUUCUUUCUUUCUUUCCUGGUUUGCAUUUCUAUUUGGUUCCGGCCAGUUUAUUAGAAGUACAACUUUCUACAUAUUGAGGGAGAUUUAUCUUUUCCUUUUGCAUUUGUUCUUGUUUUUUGUAGUUUGUGCAUAGGUAUUUGUCCUUGUAUGUGUGUACAACUGUACAUGUAUUUGUACAACCAUAAAACAAUAAAUUAAAGAGAUGACCAAUGCAACUACUCAAGCUGCAAUCAUAAGAUAAAAGUAGCUUGCUAUAUUUCAAUAUAAUUUAAUAUAUUUAUUCAACUCUCCUGAUUUGUACACUUAGUUGCUCAUUGUAAUAUUAUUACAGGAUGAAACUAAGAUCUAUAUCUUCCUUGAGCUUGUAACAAAAGGCACACUUGCAAAGCUAUAUCAAAACUAUAACUUAAACGAUUCUCAAGUCUCUGGGUAUACAAGGCAGAUUCUAAGGGGGUUGACAUAUCUUCAUGAACGUGGCGUGGUUCACAGGUAAUGUACUUCAUGAAAGGAAAAUGGCAUUUAUCAUAAUUUCCUUACUAUAGCAUUAUCACUAGCAGGAGCCGUCAUCCAACGAUCAUCGCAUUACAUGGUGAACAAUCAUCAAAUUUUCAUCACGUAAUCCAUGCAACUGAAUUCUAAACAUAUAACUAAAGCGUAAAACUUGAAGUUCAUGCAUGAAAGAAAUUAAGAGCUUCAGCUAACUAACCAAACAAUAAAUGGAUAAACUGUAGUAAAGAUCAAAACCAGCAAUUUAAGCAAAAGAAAAUCUCAAGGAUUGAAAUAGGUGGUGCUCACAGGUCAUUUGGCUUCGGCAGCCUCCAAUUCUUCCCUGACCUUAUCAAACAUGGAAAGCAUCAAAGAACGCAUGUUGGCAAUCUCUACAAGUGCGUCAAGUGCAGAUUCAAAUGAGAGUUGUGCUGCCCGUAGCUUCGGCGAAACCAAACCACCAAACAUCAACAGUGAUUUAGUCCGCUCCUUCUGAAGUUGAUGUUGGUGAGCAGUUUCAGCUUUAAGUGGGGGUGGAGGUCCAUCCUUAUCCUUUCGUUGUCGUAUCUGUGGACUCAUAUUCAUAAGUGGAGCUCCAUUGUCAUUGUCGGAGGAUGCCCAUUUGCGCAAUGUAAAAUGAUGAAUUUGCUCUGUUUCAGUAUCAGAUUGCUGGGUUACUUGCAGAAAUGUACUUGCAUUGUGCGAUUUCAGGUCCAACAAAGCACUGCUCACGCAUGACUCACCCAUAGAAUGUCGAGCACUUGCUAAUUGCAACCACCCCUGUUAGUGUUAUCCCUAUUCCAUGUUAGUAUAACAAUUUAAAUUAAAAGUAUACAAAUAAAAAUAGUAUGAUUUAAGCUAAUUUUACCUGCCGAAGUGUCCAGGACAGUGAAUCCAAUAGGGUUAAAUACCCGUCUAUUGAAUCCAGGAAUUGCAAUGAAUUUUCAUUCAAUUCAGAGAAUGCAAUUUUAUCUCGUCCUUCCAAGCUCAGUGAUUUAGGGUCUUCUUCCAAGCUGAGUGAUUUAGGGUUUUCUUCCAAGCUGAGUAAUUUAGGGUUUUCUUCCAAGCUGAGUGAUUUAGGGUCUUCUUUCAAGCUCUGGGAUUUAGAGUCUCCUUCCACAUUCUGCGAUUUAUAGUCUUCUUUCAAGCUCUGUGAUUUAGGGCCUCCUUUUUCCAAGCUCUGUAAUUUAGGUUCUUUCAAGCUGUGCGGUGUGGGGUCUUCUUCUAAGCUCUGUGACAUAGAGCCUUCUUUCAAGCUCGGGGCGUUAUUGGCUUGUUCUUCCAAGCUUUGUGAUUUAGGGUCGUCUUCUUCCAAGUUCUGCAAUUUAGGUUCUUCUUCCAUCGAGAACUUUGGAUUCAAUACGAAAACCCCUCACUUUUUUCAGUCAUAAGCCAUCACUGUCACUGAGCUUUCUGAACAAUUGGGUCAUUUAGUCAGUGACAUUACUAAAAUUCAACUCACCACAACUAAAUUCAUUUAUGUUUUAUAUUUUUGGGCCAAAGAUACUAUCCUAAAAAACAAAACAAACUGAUAAGGCAUACAACUAGUUUAGAUAAACAAAUCUAACACCAAUGACUAAAGAAAGUGAAAAUAAAACAAACAUGAUAUAGGAGCUCAAUUCUUUCAGAUAAAGAUUGGAGUGAGCUAAGUGCAGCAUUUGCACCAAAUCAUCAAUGGUAUCAAUAUUCUUCUUCUUCUUUCAACUACAGUCAGUAAGCACCAGCGCAAAUUCUUAGAAUAAAGAUAACAAACAUGAGAAGCAAGAAAACAACACAUAUUUAUUUAGGCCAGCCAUUGGAAGGAGAAUUUUAGGGUCUGUUUGGUACUCUACUUGAAUCCAACUUUUUAAACUCAAAAACAAUUUUCAAGUUUUAAGCCUUAAAAACUUGUUUGGUAUGACUAUUUUCAAAAAUUGAAUUCAAAACUAACUCAAAAAUAUAGUCUAUUCUCUAAAAACAUAAAAGGUGAGUUUUUAGAGUCUUUAAACUUAAACUCACUAUUUUCUUUUCUCUCCCUCCUCCCCUCUCAACUCCAAAUCUAUGUCUCUCCUCUUUUUUACCUUUUCCUUCUCCCCUCCAAUUUACUCUCUUCAUUUUCUCGAUUCUUUCUCUUACUCAUCUUCCUCUCUAUCUCGUCCGACCCUCUCUUCUUUCUCUUUCCUUCCAUCAUCUCUUACUUUCUUUCCUUUUAUCUCCUCCUUCUCCCUCUCAUGCAACCCCCUCUUUUUAGAUCUCUUAUCUAAUUUAAGUCGUAAGAUUUAAAAAUUUUAAAUCGCAAACCAAUCAAGUUUUUGAAUCUUAAAGAAAAUUGUUUUCAAGAAAUGUUCUUAAGAAAUGUUUUGAGAAAUGACAAAAAAAUUCAAAUAGGAUACCAAACAGGCCUUAAAGAUUUUCAAUAAGUUUGAGCUCUUAUAGGCUCCAAUCUAGGUAAAGGAAAGCAGUACAGUUGUGGUUUUUUUUAUAUAUAUUUUUAGCGCUAAUCUGCCGCAAUUUAUCUACCUCCAACAUAAAUUAUAUACUUUGUAAACUAUUUCAUAUUUGUUUCCCUUCUUUCACUCACCUUGACCCACCAUCAUACUCUAUGAGUUUGACCCACCAUCGUACUCUAUGAGUUUGACCGCAGUGCUCAAGUAACACCUAUACGACUCACAACUCUUCUACGUGAACUAACUUGAAAAAUGUUACCAUGAGAAUCGGAAGAGAACAUCUGCACUAGUAGUUAACACAUACAACCUUUGCAUACCUCAGUUUACUUGUAAUUUUGAACUGACAUCGAAGGAUAACGUUGAAUCAAUAGGAUCACUGCCUCCUCAGCAAUCUGUUGAUAAAUGAAAACAAAAAUGAAUAGGAUUAUACAUUGAAGGACCUAUAAAAGCAUCUCUCUCUUAAAUUCCCUCUCUAUCUCCACCAGUUCUUGAUUUUAAAAAUGUUUCAAGACACCGUAGGCUGCAACUUUAACCCAAACUCCAUCCCAGUAAAUCUAACCAAAUUAAAUUCGUUAGGGUAACUGCAGAAUGAGGUUUUCAUCGGCCAGGAGAAAAAAUAAAAAACUAAAACGAACUGAAACGAGGCAAUUUGUGAGUUUCUAGGGUUCUAAAUGAUGCGAAACUUAAAACGAAACUUAGAGAUAGAGAAUUCAGAUAUAUGACUAACGUAUUAACAACCAGAAAUCGCAGCCUCAAAAUUAUGAAAUCGUAGCCUCCAAUAUUCAAAAUCGCAGUCUCAAACCUCUGAACUCGAAGCUCCAAUAUUCGAAAUCGCAGCCGCAAAUCUCUGAAAUCAUAGAAAUACAAAUUAUUCAUGAAAUCAAUCCAAUCAGUUCUUCGAAAACGAAAUAAAAAACAAAUUCAGAAAAAUGAAAAAGAAAAAAAGCGAAUCGAAACAAUUCAAUCCAAUCAUAAGAAAUGAUUCAAAAUUACCUCGGAUCUCAACAGACCAAAACCCUAACAGAGUCCUCUGCAGAUCGAAUAAGGAUUGGACUAGUGGGAAACGAGUCGAAAUUGUAUUGAAAGUAAAAUAUCUCUGAAAUCGUAGCUUCUAACCUCUAGCUCAUAUCAAAAUCGACGGAAAAGCCAUGGAGAGAGCUUGACAAGUUGGACAAAGAGAGCUCGACGAGUUCGAGAGCCGGAGAAUUUGUUUUUUUCUUGGUUAAUAUAUAUACAGUAGAUGAAACAAAAUGUGAGCGUAAAUAUACAAGUUUUUUUUUUUGGAAAAUAUAGGGAAGGUAGAGAAGUUAUAGAGAAAUGUGAUAGAGAGAAAUGGAAACAAGUUUAAAAAUUCACCUCUCCCAGACCUUGCGUAAAGUUUAUGUGUCAGUUUAUAUUGCGUAAGACAAACUAAUAACAUGCUGGCAGAAGUUUGGCACAGUAACCUCCAAAAAUGAAAAAUUCAGAAUGCAUGAACUUGUAGAGUCAAAUACCAAACAUGUGUAAUAGAAUUCAUGUCACUCACAAAACUACAAAGCUAUACAAGUAAAUCAAAACACGUGCUCCCAAAAAGAAACUAUUAGCAAUUCAAA
rnacentral:lncRNA from 1 species